rnacentral:rRNA from 1 species
AUUGAACGCUGGCGGCAGGCCUAACACAUGCAAGUCGAACGAGUGGCGGACGGGUGAGUAAUGUCUGGGAAACUGCCUGAUGAAGGGGGAUAACAACUGGAACGGGUGGCUAAUACCGCAAACAAUCGGUUGUGCCCCGAUGGGAUGAGCUAGUAGGUGGGGUAAAGGCUCACCUAGGCGACGAUCCCUAGCUGGUCUGAGAGGAUGACCAGCCACACGGGAACUGAGACACGGUCCAGACUCCUACGGGAGGCAGCAGUGGGUAAUAUUGCACAAUGGGCGCAAGCCUGAUGCAGCCAUGCCGCGUGUAUGAAGAAGGCCUUCGGGUUGUAAAGUACUUUCAGCGGGGAGGCGUUACCCGCAGAAGAAGCACCGGCUAACUCCGUGCCAGCAGCCGCGGUAAUUC